rnacentral:rRNA from 1 species
UACGUAGGGUGCGAGCGUUGUCCGGAAUUACUGGGCGUAAAGAGCUCGUAGGUGGUUUGUCGCGUUGUUCGUGAAAACUCACACUCAAUUGUGGGCGUGCGGGCGAUACGGGCAGACUGGAGUACUGCAGGGGAGACUGGAAUUCCUGGUGUAGCGGUGGAAUGCGCAGAUAUCAGGAGGAACACCGGUGGCGAAGGCGGGUCUCUGGGGCAGUAACUGACGCUGAGGAGCGAAAGCGUGGGAGCGAACAGG